rnacentral:rRNA from 1 species
UGAGUAACCUGCCCUUCACUCUGGGAUAACUCCGGGGAAACCGGGGCUAAUACUGGAUAUGACUCGAACAGGCAUCUGUUUCGGGUGGAAAGAUUUAUUGGUGGAGGAUGGACUCGCGGCCUAUCAGCUUGUUGGUGAGGUAAUGGCUCACCAAGGCGACGACGGGUAGCCGGCCUGAGAGGGCGAUCGGCCACACGUGGGACUGAGACACGGCCCAGACCUCCGUACGGGGAGCA